GUAGCUGUGACAUCAGAUCGAUGUUGGUCAUGCUUACGCUAAUUAAUCAGAUUCAGUUAGCCUUCCUUGGACGACGAACACAGCUCGAUCAAUCGAGCUUAUCUCCUGAAAUGCUCUUCAGUCCUCUGUACACAUUUGUAUAAUCAAGUGUAAAGGCUUACUUUCAACAAAAAUAUAUAUGUAUAGUACUAGCUUUCAGUUGGCGUUCGGCUCCUGGAUAGCGAAUGCAGGCCAAAGCUAAGCUAGGACGCGCACUAGCUAGCUGCAGCGUGCGUUCACAUCUUAUCUAUAGGAGUAUUUUGCAGCACAUGACUGUAUUAGGAACCAUGAAGCUAGCUAUCUUUUGUGGGCUCAGCUGUGGGGGCGUGAGUCCACUCGUAACAGUACUGCGUACUUCAAAGACUUGGGAUUUAGGUAAACUCCGUUUUUAGUCCUUCAAACAAACUUUGUCUAGAGUCUAUUUUACAACUUGAUUUAUAAAAUCGAUUGUUUUUCACCCUUAAAUUCCACAACAGGAUAAAUAACAUCAUAAACCACUUUUCACGGUGGUUUUGAUCGAUAUAAUAUGUAGUGAUUUUUGGCUAACGGAAACUUCAAUUGGGUGAGUUUUCAUGAGAAACUAGACUCGGCGUUGAUGAUUAUAAAGCUUCAAUCAGGACGAUCAAACCUCUCACAACCACUGCAUCACUCCUUGGUUGGUUAUCAAUCGAGCUGAAACACGAUUGACCUCGCCGAUAAGGCUAUCUCCUACGAGCGAAUCGAGGACACAAGCAAGAGAGUAGAAGAUGCAAACUGAAUAUAUUGCGAAUAUAAGAUGAAUCUCACAAAUUGGGGAUCUACAAAUUGAACUAGCGGCAAAACUGCAAUUGCAGAAUAAUGUAAGCAAAACAUAACCCUAAUUCAUUGA